ACCAGAGUGGUAGAUAUAACAGAGUGGCGACACUUCCAUUGGACUCCGUUGUAGCGCCUACUUCCGGGGUAUGGAGCCUCGAAUAGUUCCAAACAACCAUUUUACGGCGUAGGAGAUCAUUCAUUUCCAUUGCUGGCCGUCGAGUAACUUCUGAGACGACCGAUUGCCUGCUGGUUUGUUAGCUCGACUUCGCCAUGUGAAGGGUGAUGUUCAGCACAUGAAGCCCUAUAGAUGCCGCCGCUUCAACAAUGCUGAUUAUGAUGGGCGGUGAAUUUAACCUUUGCCUUAUUAGGUCCUCCACAGUCACCCCAUCAGUCCCUGGCAGUCUAGUCCCUGGAUCACCUGCCCCUGGAUCACCUGCCCCUGGCAAAGUGGCCUCUUGAUUGCUCUCUCUGUCUCCUGUCAUGUCCUUUUCAUCGCUCUUGAAAUCCACCUCAAUUUCUCCCUCAAUCUCUGUAACAAUUACAAGGUAAUGUUGCUGUUAUAUGUAUUUUGCCUUUGCAUUUGCAACUACUGUCAUCUCCAAUGUAAGGCAAUGUAAGAAAAUGUAAUAAAGCGAAACAUUUCUGUAAUGUGAAUUAAAUCAUCUGCCACAAUCAGAAACCAAUAAAAUGUAUAAAUGGAU